AGCGUAGACGGUGUGGCAAGUCUGAUGUGAAAGGCAUGGGCUCAACCUGUGGACUGCAUUGGAAACUGUCAUACUUGAGUGCCGGAGGGGUAAGCGGAAUUCCUAGUGUAGCGGUGAAAUGCGUAGAUAUAUGGAGGAACACCGGUGGCGAAAGCGGCUCUCUGGUCUGUAACUGACGCUGAGGCUCGAAAGGCGUGGGGAGCGAACA
rnacentral:rRNA from 1 species